UACGUAGGGGGCAAGCGUUGUCCGGAUUUAUUGGGCGUAAAGCGCUCGUAGGCGGCUCGGUAAGUCGGAUGUGAAACCUCCAGGCUCAACCUGGAGACGCCAUCUGAUACUGCCGUGGCUUGAGUCCGGUAGAGGAGCAGGGAAUUCCUGGUGUAGCGGUGAAAUGCGCAGAUAUCAGGAGGAACACCAGCGGCGAAGGCGCUGCUCUGGGCCGGUACUGACGCUGAGGAGCGAAAGCGUGGGGAGCGAACAGG
rnacentral:rRNA from 1 species